CGAAGCUCGAGCAUCUUCAUCUGCAUCUGCAUCUCUCCAUCUCUCCACCUCUCCAGCCCUCCAUCUCCGGGCGCUCCAGCAGACUUGCCGUGGUUACAGCCACUCAUGGUAGAUAGGAGAAGGUGCCGGAGAUCAAACAGCUGUUGUGUCCAGAUGUCAUUCUCCUUCUCCUGUUGCUACAGACCUUUGUUCUCCUCUGAGUACAGGUGCAGCACCCCCAAACACACACACUCACACACAAAGAAAACAUGAUGAGGGCACGACGGCUGGCUUUGUGCUGUACACAUCAGCGCAUCGGUGGAGGAGAGACGACGAUGAUGGGGAGAGAGGACUGAAGGAGACAUGGGGCAGAAAAUAGGAGUAAAUAAAGAGAGAGAGAGAGAGAUGAAGAUAACUACUGAUGCUACUAAUACUACUACUACCACUAAUACUAAUACUGAUUCUACUGAUACUUCUAAUAAUACUAUUAGCAAUUGUGCUAUUACUACUACUAAUACUACUUGUGUAGUGAUGCUACUAACAUUACUACCAAUACUACUAAUACUACUUAUUCUACUGAUAAUACCACCAUUACUAUUAGCAGAAUUACUAAUACUACUGCUACUGAUUCUAUUGCUACUAAAACUACAACUAAUACUACUUUCUAGUAGUACUAAUACUAUUACUGAUGAUACUAACAUCACUACCAAUACUACCAAAUCCCAAUACCAAUAGUACUAUUACUAAUAAUACUAAUACAACUAUCAAUCCUACUACUGAUUCUAGCACUAUUAUCAUUGCUACUUCUACUGCUGUUACUACUACCACCACCAAUACCACUAUCAUUACUAAUACUUCUGAUUCUACUGCUACUACUACUAAUACUAUUAACAGAACUACUACUACUACUGCUGCUAGUGAUGCUACUAAGAUCAAUACUACUACUAAUACCACUACUAACAUCAAUACUACUACUACUACUACUACUGAUGCCACUAACAUCACUACCAAUACUACCAAUACUACUACCAAUACUCCUACUAAUACUACUACUGAUGCUACUACUGCUACUACCACCAAUACUAUUAUCAUUACUACUACUACUACUUAUUCUACUUCUUCUUCUUCUUCUACUUCUUCUUCUACUACUACUACUACUACUGAUGCCACUAACAUCACUACCAAUACUACCAAUACUACUACCAAUACUCCUACUAAUACUACUACUGAUGCUACUACUGCUACUACCACCAAUACUAUUAUCAUUACUACUACUACUACUUAUUCUACUUCUUCUUCUUCUUCUUCUUCUUCUUCUACUUCUUCUUCUUCUUCUACUACUACUACUACUACUACUACUACUACUACUACUACUACUACUACUACUACUACUACUACUACUACUACUACUACCACCAACUUCAAUACCCAAACCAAUAGGGGCGGUGGUGGCUCAAGUAGCUCAGGGUUGUUGACCAGAAGAUUGGGGGUUCAAGCCCCAGCACCGCCAAGUAGCCACUGUUGGGCCCUUGAGCAAGGCCCUUAACCCUCUCUGCUCCAGGGGCGCUGUAUCAUGGCUGACCCUGCGCUAUAACCCCAACCUCCAAGGAUGGGAUAUGCAAAGAAAGAAUUUCACUGUGCUAUUUCUUUUUUUCUCUUCAAUACUUUACUACUACUAAUACUACUACUGAUUCUACUACCAAUACCAUUAGCAGUACUACUAUUACUACUACUAAUGCCACUAACAUCACUACCAUUACUACCAAUACUCCUACGAAUACUACUCCUGAUGCUACUACUGCUACUACCAUCAAUACUACUACCAUUAAUACUACUUAUUCUACUGCUUCUACUACGACCAAUACUAUUAGCAGUAUUACUACUACUACUACUAACAUCAGUACCAAUACUGUUAGUACUACUAAUACUAUAACUGAUUCGACCACUACUAUCAUUACUACAACUAUGACUACCAAUACUCCUACUGAUGCUACUACUGCUACUACCACCAAUACUACUAUCAUCACCAAUACUACUACUACUACUACUGAUUCUACUACCAUUACUAUUAGCAAUACUACUACAUUACUACUAAUGCUAAAACUACUACUGACUCUACCACUACUAUCAUUACUGCUACUACUGAUUCGUGUAACACUACUACCAACAUAACUAAAUUUACUUUUACUACUACCAGCACUCCUGUUAACACUAGUGCUUAUGCUAAUAAAACUACUACCAUUACUACUCCCAAUACUGAUGCCACUACUACAGCUAGUACUUAACCUAGUAACACCCAAUGCCGCUCAUACUACUAUUACUGCUGCUUCGAUUACUCUACUAUUUCUACCUCUGCAGCUAUUCAUGCUAAUUCUAACACCACUGCUGCUUCUAAUGCUGCUGCUACGGCUGUUACUAAUAUCAAAUACUAGCGCUACUAACUCUAGUAAUACUAGCUCUACUUGGCCGAUGAUGAAGGCAGAAGAAGACUAGACAGAUUUCCACAUUUCUCGGUUGAGCUUCCUCUCUGGGUUUUUUUUUUGUGUGUGUGUGGAAAAAUAGGAACAGUGGAGUGUAAAUCCUCCCACACAGCCCUUCAAUUUCAGUAGGUAAAAAAAAUAAGGGGGGGGUGUUCAAAAACCGGCGAGAGAAAAAAGGCGGUAAAAGGCCGUUCCCCGCUGUGCGCCUGUGAGCGAGUGUGCUCAGGUAAUUAAGCGCUGCUUCGCUCGACCCUUCGUCAAGGCAAUUACCUAAAAUCAUAUGCUCUUAGCUGCUGUAAUUACGGGCCAAUCUGGCUGCACGGCGCUGACUGACAGCUCGGCAGCGGCCGCCACGUGUUUACGCCGCUGACGACAAAGCCGAUUACAGCGUGUAGUGUUACAUACGGUCAAAACACACGGCGCAAAGAAAACACGCACAUCAGACCAGAAUCCUUCUCAACACACGUAUCAGAAACACCGGAUUAUUCCAAAAUCCUGAUUUAAGGUCGCUUUGGGAAACAGGAAGUGGAUUUAUUUAUUUAUUUAAAAAAAAAUUUUGGUAGCCACAUUUUGUCCAGGUCAGAUAUUUGUUUCCAUCCAGUGGAGAGAUUUUCCAUUUGCACUGAGGACACGAGACUCAACAAAAUAAGGACGGAAAGAUGGGGGGAGAAUGAAAAAAAACAGGAAACAAAAUGAGAAUAAUACAAAAAGAGAUGGACGCAAGGAAGAGAGAGAAAAUACAAAGGAUUAAGGUAAAGAAAGUCGAAAAGGAAAGAAAGAAAUGAAAGCGCAUUAAAGGGGAAAAUGAGAGAAAGAAAGAAAGAAAGAAAGAGUAGUAAGUAAUAAUAAGGUCUAAAGUAACAAAAAGAGAAAGAAUGACAAAAGAGAGAGAACAGUCGGAAGCAAUACAUAAGGUGAGAGAGAGAGAGAGAGAGAGAGAGAGAGAAAUAAAAGAGUGAGACAGUCCUGAAUAACGAGCUGUGUGUGUGUGUCUCGCCUCAGGGGAAACACUCGAGUGCAGGUUGAGAGAAUGAAAUUAGUGAGAGACGAAUGCAGGUUGAGAGAGAGGGAGAGGGAGAGAGAGAGAGAGAUGGUGAGGGGUCAGACAGACACUUAUUAAAUUAAAGACACACAGGUGUCACAGCACAGCAUUCUGGGAAAGUGUUACUGAGGUCACAUGAUCAGAUGGUUUCAUUCCAGAAGAUUCUUUACACACAGUCGCCAUCAUCCUGAUGGGGUUUUUUACAUCCUUUAAAAAUCCUGUGAAGAACUUCUUCAUUGUUACAUCACUACUAGCAUAAGAAAUAAGAACACUAAUCAUGCUGCUAAUAGAGCUAGUAACACUGAUUACCACUACUGGCAAUACCACUAGUAACACUCACACAAAUACUCCUACCACUGCUGCUAGUACUACAAAUACUACUGCUGCUGCUGCUACUUUUACUAGCACUAUUAAUACUAACACUAUACUAACACUACCAUGAGCAACAUUACUAAUAUUACUACGACUAAUAUAGCUAUAACUACUGCCUGUAAUAAUGCUAGUACUAACCACACUAGUAUUAUUAGCACUAUUCCUGCUGCAACCUUUACCAGAAAUCCUAGUAAUCCAACUAGUCCUAUUAAUAUUAACACUGUACCUUCACUACCAUGAGCAAUAUUACUGCUAUUGCUACUACUACUACAGCUACUGCUAGUAAUAUUGCUAGUACUAACAAUGCUAAUAUUAUUAACACUUCUGCUGCUGUGGUUACUUUAAUACAACUAGUACUAUUAAUAUUAACACUACCAUGGGCAAUAUUACUAAUAUUAUUACUACUACUACAGCUAGCAAUAGUACUAGUACUUAUACAGCUAUGAUUACUGCUAGUAACAGUGCAACAAUUCUAGUAUUAUUAACACUAUUACUGCUGCAACUAAUGCAACUAGUACUAUUAAUACGAACACUACUAACACUACCAUGAGUAAUAUUACUGCUAAUGCUGCUAACUACAGCUACGGAUAUUACUGUUGCUAAUACUGAUAUCGCUAGUACAAAUAAUGCUAAUAUUGCUGCUACUAUUACUGUUACUAGUUAAGUUGCUGCUGCUGCUGCUGAUGAUGAUAAAAUAAUUAAAAGAAAUAUUAAAUAAUAUAAUCAUACUGCUAGUGUCCAGUCGCUGUCACUGAGUGAACUAUUUUUAGUGUUAGCAUUACUGUUACAUUCAUCAUAUUCACACAUGAGGUAAAUUUCUGAGGUAAAAAAAAAAACCCUUCACACUUUGGGUUGCUAGACGUAGCAGAACCUGUGGAGGAUUCAUAAGCAGCCAGUGAUUUAAAAACACGUCUGAGGGAAAUGUUGAUGUUCCGGAUGUUUCUGCCUCACUUUCACUGUCAAUUUGUGUUUUUAUUGUUGAUGAAAAAGACUUAAAGCCGAUGUUCUAGCUAGAUUAAUUAUUAGCCUAAGUGAUUAACCUGCUGUCCAUAUGUCUCAGUUGCCUAGCAACAAUGUUCUUGUAAUAUUUAAGCACUUGAUCAGUGCAUCAUGAAUUCACUAGACGUACUAUAUUUGAAUUAAAUGCUAAAUGCUAAUGAGUUGAGAUAUCCUGCUAACUAAACAUACACCCAUACAGCACUGGAGUGUUUAAAGCUUAGCAUGGCUAACUGCAGAACUCUUUUUCAAGAUUUAAUCAGCCUCGUAUGUGUUAUUUACGAUGGAUUCUGCUAAACCAGUAAAACGAAGCUAGCAAGCGCGGACUGACACGCAAAGGUUAUGAUCCCCUCGCUAGCUUAAAAAAAAACUUUUUCAUCGCCACAUCGUAUUCGAGUCAGCGGCACUGACGGCGUAAUUGGACAUUAGUCUCGAUUCAGAUGGCACGAGAGUCGAGCUAAACGCCCGGACGCAGAUCUUUUCCCUUUCUUUCAGUCCGUACAUUUAAUUUCUCCAAUUGUAGGGAAUAAAAGGAGUCCAUCCUGUUGUGAAGAGCAUAAUUUAAGCGCUCUUAAUAAAGCACCGCUGUUCAUUACCGAGCCCAUUAUUUCCAGGCUGGACGAGAAAAAAAAAAAAAACGACCCGUCUCACCUCGCCGUCACUUUUUUUUUUCCUUCCCGGAAAUCUGGAGUAAAUGUGUAAGUGCAUGCAGAGACAGGUUCGGCUACUUAGCAAGGGGGGAGAAAACGAGAGCGGAGAGCUCAGGCGAACUCGGAAGCCUAUUAGGGCUAAUAUGUUUUUUUAAUGGGAAAGCCGCGGUUGAUCUGAACUCAUUUGCUUCGUCCGGGGCCGAGCUCUGAAAGCAAUCCGUCACCUCCGUGUGAGGCCGAGCCGCGCUCCUAAUGAGCCUCUCGGUCCAAAAAAGAGGGACGAAAGAAUUGAGCUGUCACGGCUCUCAAUGGCCACGUCGGCACAAUUGUGGCCCUGGCACUCGGUCGUCGUGUCUCUUUGUGUGCGUUUAGCCAAGCAAGGCCUUAUACAAAAUGAAUGGGACGAAUGUAACCUUAACUUCGGCAGACACACGCGCCACUGACGGGGUCGACCGUGAUCAAAACGUCAAAACACUGCUUUAAAAAACACUUUUUGAAAGAAAAAAAGAGUGUGUAUGUGUGUGUGUGAGAGAGAGAGAGAGAGAGAGAGAGAGAGAGAGCGAGACAGAGAAAAGAUAGAUGAAUAAAGAAAGCAAUAGGGGAGGGGGGAAAAGAUGAAAAAAGAGUACGCUGGAGAGAACAGUAAAACUGAACUGAGAGUAAGACAAAUGAAGACACAAAAAGAGACAAGAAAGAAAUGAAAAGACAAACUGAGAGAGAAAAAUGAGAUUAGGAGAAAAAGAUAAACAGGUUAGUCAGGAAGAUGAAAUGAAAAGAGAAUAAGAUAUAAACAAAGAAGAAUGAGAGAAAAAAGAGAGAGUGUGUGUGUGUGUGUGAGAGAGAGAGAGAGAGAGAGAGAGAGAGAGAGGUGAGAAAGCAGAUCAAAAACAGAGGAGGACAGGAAAGAGGGAAAAGAGAGACGAAAAGAGAUCACGACAGUGAGAGGAAGAGAGCAGGAUGAAACGGGAGUGAGUAGAAGAAGAAACAAAAAAGACAGAAGGAGAAGAAAAAAAGAAGGAGUAAAUAGUAGAAGAGAGAAAAACGUGUGUUUAUCCUGCUGGAUUGUGGACAGUGUGAAGCUCAAGUCGGGACUUUUAGCAUCUUAGCACUCUAGCCAUGACUCAGCAUUUUAGCUUCUGAUCCUGGUUUAUCGCUCGCUUUAUCAGUUCACUGCGACGUCCUCCGAUUUAUUUAGCACUAAAUUAACUCUAGAAGUUUUCUACACCUAGGAGUUUGUCAGCUCUACCCUGUCUGCUAGGUUUGAUAUAAAAUCUUAUGAAUGCUAAAAUUAGCGCUUCCUCCAUUUUGAAUCUGAGUUUGAAGGCCCGCCCCUUCAGAGGUCAGAACAGAGAAAACACAUUUCAUAUUUCCUUUGUCAGAUUUAACGUUCUUUUAAACACAGAGUGAUGACUAGCACACAAGGUCUGAGAAGCAGCAGAAAAGGUCGGAGGGUAAGUGUGUUUUUAUUGUGUUUCAGAAAACCGCAGGACACCGUGAUGGAGACGAGAGACAGACAGAGUGUGUGAGGACAAGAGAGAAAGAGAGAGAGUGAGAGAGGGGGGGAGAGAGAUGGGGGUGAAAGACAGAGAAAUGUGUCAUGUCUUUCAGAGGAACAACACACUCUUCCGUCUCUACUCAAAUGUCACUAAAGGUCUAAGGGGUGUGUGUGUGUGUGUGUGUGUGUGAGAGAGAGAGAAAGAAAUCCUACAUCAAGACAUUCACUCUAUCUCUCUCUCUCCCUUCCAUAUAUCUCUGUCUCCAUCAGUUUUAAUAAAAGAAGCGUAGCCUGUGUGUCUUUCAGUUUUGGUAAAGAAGGCGUGGCCUGAGUGCUUGUCAGUCUCAGUGAUGGAGGAGUGGUCUGCGUACCUGUCAGUUGUAGAGAAAGAAGUGUGUCCUGUGUGUCUUUCAGUUGCACUAAAGAAGGUGUGGCCUCUGUACCUGUCAGUCAGAGUGAAAGAGGUGUGGCCUCUGUACCUGUCAGUCAUAAUGAAAGAGAAACGGACUCUGUACCUGUCAGUCAUAAUGAAAUAGGCGUGGCCUCUGUACAUGUCAAUCAGAUUGAAAGAGGCGUGCCCUUUGUACUUGUCAGUCAGAGUGAAAGAGGCAUGGCCUCUGUACCUGUCAGUCAGAGUGAAAGAGGCGUGGCCUCAGUACCUAUCACUCAGAGUAAAAGAGGCGUGGCCUCAGUACCUAUCAGUCAUAAUGAAAGAGACAUGGACUCUGUACCUGUCAGUCAUAAUGAAAUAGGCGUGGCCUCUGUACAUGUCAAUCAGAUUGAAAGAGGCGUGCCCUUUGUACUUGUCAGUCAGAGUGAAAGAGGCAUGGCCUCUGUACCUGUCAGUCAGAGUGAAAGAGGCGUGGCCUCAGUACCUAUCACUCAGAGUAAAAGAGGCGUGGCCUCAGUACCUAUCAGUCAUAAUGAAAGAGACAUGGACUCUGUACCUGUCAGUCAUAAUGAAAUAGGCGUAGCCUCUGCACAUGUCAAUCAGAGUGAAAGAGGUGUGGCCUCUUUAACUGUCAGUCAUAAUGAAAGAGGUGUAGCCUUUGUACAUGUCAAUCAGAGUGAAAGAGGCGGGGCCACUGUACCUGUCAGGCAUAAUGAAAGAGACGUGGCCUCUGUGGGUUGUCCUGGUGCAGUAACUGUGACCUUCAUUCCUAAGUAAGGUGACAUUCCUGAUGACAGGGGGCGUGGCUUUCCACUCUUCAAAUCUAAUACAUUGUCUGUUAAAAAAUAAAUCAUGUAGUCACGUAGUGUGAGGUGAAACAGCUGUAAAGUCUCUCAUGCCGAGUGAUUAACUGUGUAAAUGUUUAUCUCUUCCUCCGAGCUGCUGAUCACCGAGUGAAGCUUUAAAACUCGACCCGGACGCCGUGGAAGACUAGUGAUUUUGUUGUUGUACAUUUUCUGCUUUGACAACAAAUCACAGUCUACCUCAGCGCUCAGGUCCUUUCUCCCCAGCACACACACACACACACACACACACACACAGCUACAGAGCAGAGGUAAGCACGGCUGAUAAAACAGUAUACUUUAUCAUACAACAACUUGUCUAUGUGUUUUGUUGUACAGUGAAAUCUCAGUGUGUACACGCGUACUGCACAAUAAAGACAAAUAAUAAUUCAUAUAGCCAUUGUUUAAAUAAAUAACAUGGUGCUACACAGACUGUUUAGAGUUUAAUAGUGUAUAACAUAAUAACUUAAUUUCCAUUCUUUUCUCUCCUUGCUGUUUAUAUUUCCUGUUUUUCUCAGUAAGAAGAAGUCACUGAAGAAUUUGCUUUAAAAAAAAACAAAUUAAUUCAACUGUUUUAAAACAAGACCUCGUGGCGUGUGGGAGGCCGAGGCGGCCUCGAGCUCUACACCCUUACUCAUUUACUCACAAUUGCUUUGAUGAAUUUAUUCAUAUUUUUGUUUUUAAAAUGCUAAUUAUUAAUAUUGUGUGUGUGUGUGUGUGUGUGUGAGAGAGAGAGAUAGAGAGAGAGCAAGAGAGAGAGAUUUUAAUAAAAUAUUUAUGGUCACA